rnacentral:rRNA from 1 species
AUAGUGGCGCACGGGUGCGUAACACGUAUGCAACCUACCUUACAUCGGGGGAUAGCCUUUCGAAAGGGAGAUUAAUACCGCAUAAGACAGUAGCUGGGCAUCCAGCAGCUGUUAAAGAUUUAUCGAUGUAAGCUGGGCAUGCGUCCAAUUAGCUAGUUGGUGAGGUAAUGGCUCACCAAGGCUAUGAUUGGUAGGGGAACUGAGAGGUCAAUCCCCCGCACUGGCACUGAGAUACGGGCCAGACUCCUACGGGAGGCAGCAGUAGGGAAUAUUGGGCAAUGGACGCAAGUCUGACCCAGCCAUGCCGCGUGCAGGAUGAAGGCGUUAUGCGUUGUAAACUGCUUUUAUACAGGAAGAAACGACUCUUGCGAGAGGCAUUGACGGUACUGUAUGAAUAAGCACCGGCUAACUCCGUGCCAGCAGCCGCGGUAAUACGGAGGGUGCAAGCGUUGUCCGGAUUUAUUGGGUUUAAAGGGUGCGCAGGUGGUUUAUUAAGUCAGUGGUGAAAGACGGUCGCUCAACGAUUGCAGUGCCAUUGAAACUGGUAGACUUGAGUAAAGUAGAGGUGGGCGGAAUUGAUAGUGUAGCGGUGAAAUGCAUAGAUAUUAUCAAGAACUCCAAUUGCGUAGGCAGCUCACUUGGCUUUUACUGACACUCAUGCACGAAAGUGUGGGUAUCAAACAGGAUUAGAUACCCUGGU